AGCGAACGCUGGCGGCAGGCUUAACACAUGCAAGUCGAGCGCCCCGCCAGGGGAGCGGCAGACGGGAGAGUAACACGUGGGAACAUACCUUUUGGUUCGGAACAACUGAGGGAAACUUCAGCUAAUACCGGAUAAGCCCUUACGGGGAAAGAUUUAUCGCCGAAAGAUUGGCCCGCGUCUGAUUAGCUAGUUGGUGAGUUAACGGCUCACCAAGGCGACUAUCAGUAGCUUGUCUGUGAGGAUGAUCAGCCUCACUGGGACUGAGACACGGCCCAGACUCCUACGGGAGGCAGCAGUGGGGAAUAUUGGAAAAUGGAGGCAACCCUGAUCCAGCCAUGCCGCGUGAGUGAUGAAGGCCUUAGGGUUGUAAAGCUCUUUUGCCCGGGAAGAUAAUGACGGUACCGGGAGAAUAAGCCCCGGCUAACUUCGUG
rnacentral:rRNA from 1 species